rnacentral:rRNA from 1 species
AACGAACGCUGGCGGCAUGCCUAACACAUGCAAGACGAACGAGACCUUCGGGUCUAGUGGCGCACGGGUGCGUGACGCGUGGGAACCUGCCCUUAGGUUCGGAAUAACUCCCCGAAAGGGGUGCUAAUACCGGAUAAUGUCUUCGGACCAAAGAUUUAUCGCCUUUGGAUGGGCCCGCGUUGGAUUAGCUAGUUGGUAGGGUAAAAGCCUACCAAGGCGACGAUCCAUAGCUGGUCUGAGAGGAUGAUCAGCCACACUGGGACUGAGACACGGCCCAGACUCCUACGGGAGGCAGCAGUGGGGAAUAUUGGACAAUGGGCGAAAGCCUGAUCCAGCAAUGCCGCGUGAGUGAUGAAGGCCUUAGGGUUGUAAAGCUCUUUUACCCGGGAUGAUAAUGACAGUACCGGGAGAAUAAGCUCCGGCUAACUCCGUG